UACGGGGGGGAGCAAGCGUUGUUCGGAUUUACUGGGCGUAAAGGGCGCGUAGGCGGCUUUGCAAGUCGGGUGUGAAAUCCCCCAGGCUUAACCUGGGAACUGCAUUCGAGACUGCAUUGCUAGAGUAUGGGAGAGGGAAGUGGAAUUUCCGGUGUAGCGGUGAAAUGCGUAGAUAUCGGAAGGAACAUCAGUGGCGAAAAGCGACUUCCUGGACCAAUACUGACGCUCAUGUGCGAAAGCGUGGGGAGCAAACAGG
rnacentral:rRNA from 1 species